GCACCGUAAGCAUUGCUGGAAUGUGGGAGAUGCAUGCCUUUUCCCUUUUAUGUGAAAGUGAACCCAAGGAUCAUAAUGGCAAUUAAAUUCGGAGUUGACGUUAGAUUCUUGCGCUUAUAAGGCUGUAUAAAAAUCGAACUUCCCUUCAUGAGGUUACUCUCCUUCUUCCUGCUUGGUGAUUGAUUUCGAUAUCCUUUACCUAAUUCAGGUAAGGUCGAUCAGUUCUUCCUGAAUUGUGGUAUCACUACAUUGCAUCUCAGGAACAUCCAGACUUUAAGCCUUGUACGCAUAUAGCUUCUCUCUGUGUCGUUAGCUGAUGGAAGAACAUCAACAAGGGUGAAGAACUCAUCCUAGUUCAUUUUAUUCGAUUUUUUCUUAUCACAGGUGAAAAAUUGGAAAAACCAUCGAGUUUUGUAGCUCGGGCUCAGUAUCUACCUAGAAGCAAAAUUACUUUGGGGAAAAUGUAGUUGUUGUCCCAGGUAUCCUUUCUAGAGUUUCUCUGCCAAUUUCUUUUUGGUCUUUCACUUUUUAUGAGUUUCUCCAUUUCUUUAUGUGAGGAGGACACAAGUCAAGGAGCUUGGAUAGGCCUUGCCAAAAAUAUCUUGUGGGUCCCUUUAACUUUGUUUACACAAAUGCUUUGCUUUACGAUGUAGGACGCUAGAUUUUCUGCACAUUGGUU